rnacentral:rRNA from 1 species
CAAUAGCGUAUAUUUAAGUUGUUGCAGUUAAAAAGCUCGUAGUUGGAUUUCGGGUGGGACGCAGCGGUCUCGCAUUGCGUUUGUACUGCUGCAGCCCUCCUUCUUGCCGGGGGCGGCCUCUCGGACUUCACUGUCUGGGGGUCAGAAUCGGCGAUGUUACUUUGAGUAAAUUAGAGUGUUCAAAGCAAGCUUACGCUCUGAAUAUAAUAGCAUGGGAUAACACGACAGGACCCUGGCCUAUCGUGUUGGUCUAUAGGACCAGAGUAAUGAUUAAGAGGGACAGUCGGGGGCAUUCGUAUUCCGUUGUCAGAGGUGAAAUUCUUGGAUUUACGGAAGACGAACAUCUGCGAAAGCAUUUGCCAAGGAUGUUUUCAUUGA